rnacentral:rRNA from 1 species
ACUUUCAACAACGGAUCUCUUGGCUCUCGCAUCGAUGAAGAACGCAGCGAAAUGCGAUAAGUAAUGUGAAUUGCAGAAUUCAGUGAAUCAUCGAAUCUUUGAACGCACCUUGCACUCCUUGGUAUUCCGAGGAGUAUGCCUGUUUGAGUGUC